UCUGGAAAGGCGCGCGAUACAGGGUGACAGCCCCGUACACAAAAAUGCACAUGCUGUGAGCUCGAUGAGUAGGGCGGGACACGUGGUAUCCUGUCUGAAUAUGGGGGGACCAUCCUCCAAGGCUAAAUACUCCUGACUGACCGAUAGUGAACCAGUACCGUGAGGGAAAGGCGAAAAGAACCCCGGCGAGGGGAGUGAAAAAGAACCUGAAACCGUGUACGUACAAGCAGUGGGAGCCUCUUUUAUGGGGUGACUGCGUACCUUUUGUAUAAUGGGUCAGCGACUUAUAUUCUGUAGCAAGGUUAACCGAAUAGGGGAGCCGAAGGGAAACCGAGUCUUAACUGGGCGUUAAGUUGCAGGGUAUAGACCCGAAACCCGGUGAUCUAGCCAUGGGCAGGUUGAAGGUUGGGUAACACUAACUGGAGGACCGAACCGACUAAUGUUGAAAAAUUAGCGGAUGACUUGUGGCUGGGGGUGAAAGGCCAAUCAAACCGGGAGAUAGCUGGUUCUCCCCGAAAGCUAUUUAGGUAGCGCCUCGUGAAUUCAUCUCCGGGGGUAGAGCACUGUUUCGGCAAGGGGGUCAUCCCGACUUACCAACCCGAUGCAAACUGCGAAUACCGGAGAAUGUUAUCACGGGAGACACACGGCGGGUGCUAACGUCCGUCGUGAAGAGGGAAACAACCCAGACCGCCAGCUAAGGUCCCAAAGUCAUGGUUAAGUGGGAAACGAUGUGGGAAGGCCCAGACAGCCAGGAUGUUGGCUUAGAAGCAGCCAUCAUUUAAAGAAAGCGUAAUAGCUCACUGGUCGAGUCGGCCUGCGCGGAAGAUGUAACGGGGCUAAACCAUGCACCGAAGCUGCGGCAGCGACGCUUAUGCGUUGUUGGGUAGGGGAGCGUUCUGUAAGCCUGUGAAGGUGUGCUGUGAGGCAUGCUGGAGGUAUCAGAAGUGCGAAUGCUGACAUAAGUAACGAUAAAGCGGGUGAAAAGCCCGCUCGCCGGAAGACCAAGGGUUCCUGUCCAACGUUAAUCGGGGCAGGGUGAGUCGACCCCUAAGGCGAGGCCGAAAGGCGUAGUCGAUGGGAAACAGGUUAAUAUUCCUGUACUUGGUGUUACUGCGAAGGGGGGACGGAGAAGGCUAUGUUGGCCGGGCGACGGUUGUCCCGGUUUAAGCGUGUAGGCUGGUUUUCCAGGCAAAUCCGGAAAAUCAAGGCUGAGGCGUGAUGACGAGGCACUACGGUGCUGAAGCAACAAAUGCCCUGCUUCCAGGAAAAGCCUCUAAGCAUCAGGUAACAUCAAAUCGUACCCCAAACCGACACAGGUGGUCAGGUAGAGAAUACCAAGGCGCUUGAGAGAACUCGGGUGAAGGAACUAGGCAAAAUGGUGCCGUAACUUCGGGAGAAGGCACGCUGAUAUGUAGGUGAAGCGACUUGCUCGUGGAGCUGAAAUCAGUCGAAGAUACCAGCUGGCUGCAACUGUUUAUUAAAAACACAGCACUGUGCAAACACGAAAGUGGACGUAUACGGUGUGACGCCUGCCCGGUGCCGGAAGGUUAAUUGAUGGGGUCAGCGCAAGCGAAGCUCUUGAUCGAAGCCCCGGUAAACGGCGGCCGUAACUAUAACGGUCCUAAGGUAGCGAAAUUCCUUGUCGGGUAAGUUCCGACCUGCACGAAUGGCGUAAUGAUGGCCAGGCUGUCUCCACCCGAGACUCAGUGAAAUUGAACUCGCUGUGAAGAUGCAGUGUACCCGCGGCAAGACGGAAAGACCCCGUGAACCUUUACUAUAGCUUGACACUGAACAUUGAGCCUUGAUGUGUAGGAUAGGUGGGAGGCUUUGAAGUGUGGACGCCAGUCUGCAUGGAGCCGACCUUGAAAUACCACCCUUUAAUGUUUGAUGUUCUAACGUUGACCCGUAAUCCGGGUUGCGGACAGUGUCUGGUGGGUAGUUUGACUGGGGCGGUCUCCUCCUAAAGAGUAACGGAGGAGCACGAAGGUUGGCUAAUCCUGGUCGGACAUCAGGAGGUUAGUGCAAUGGCAUAAGCCAGCUUGACUGCGAGCGUGACGGCGCGAGCAGGUGCGAAAGCAGGUCAUAGUGAUCCGGUGGUUCUGAAUGGAAGGGCCAUCGCUCAACGGAUAAAAGGUACUCCGGGGAUAACAGGCUGAUACCGCCCAAGAGUUCAUAUCGACGGCGGUGUUUGGCACCUCGAUGUCGGCUCAUCACAUCCUGGGGCUGAAGUAGGUCCCAAGGGUAUGGCUGUUCGCCAUUUAAAGUGGUACGCGAGCUGGGUUUAGAACGUCGUGAGACAGUUCGGUCCCUAUCUGCCGUGGGCGCUGGAGAACUGAGGGGGGCUGCUCCUAGUACGAGAGGACCGGAGUGGACGCAUCACUGGUGUUCGGGUUGUCAUGCCAAUGGCACUGCCCGGUAGCUAAAUGCGGAAGAGAUAAGUGCUGAAAGCAUCUAAGCACGAAACUUGCCCCGAGAUGAGUUCUCCCUGACUCCUUGAGAGUCCUGAAGGAACGUUGAAGACGACGACGUUGAUAGGCCGGGUGUGUAAGCGCAGCGAUGCGUUGAGCUAACCGGUACUAAUGAACCGUGAGGCUUAACCUU
rnacentral:rRNA from 1 species